UGGGCUCGAAAUGCUGCUGAUCGCCGGUGGAAACACUGGUUUUCCCGCAAGGGACAGUAGUAU
rnacentral:rRNA from 1 species